rnacentral:rRNA from 1 species
UACGUAGGGGCCGAGCGUUGUCCGGAUUCAUUGGGCGUAAAGAGCGUGUAGGCGGCCGCUUAAGUCCUGCGUGAAAUCUCGGAGCUCAACUCCGAGCGGUCGUGGGAAACUGGGCGGCUAGAGUGCGGGAGAGGAGAGUGGAAUUCCUGGUGUAGCGGUGGAAUGCGCAGAUAUCAGGAAGAACACCCGUGGCGAAGGCGGCUCUCUGGGGGUUUUCUGACGCUGGGGCGCGAAAGCGUGGGGAGCGAACAGG